CGGGGACGAGUGCCUCAUCACUCUGACAACAAAUGGACUCGAAUGAAUCCAAUUAGACGAGAGUCUUUGUGCCAGAAACUCCUGUUUGUGUCAAUAUUCAUGUGGAAGCUCAUUUAAUCUUAUAACCCUCAUAAGCACAAUUACUCAUCCAGGUAUAUUCAUUUGGGCGCUCACUCAUUCACUCAUUGAUUCCCCCACUCACUCGUCCAUUAUUUUUUUCACACAGUUACUCCCUAUUCAUGUGUUCACGUACUCACCAUUUUACUCUCCCUUUCACAGACGCAUGUCUGCUCGAUUUUAAAUGGCCUUUUUUGGUUUGUUUACGUCCUCAUGUCUAACUUGUUAAGACAUGCGUCUCUUUCUCUGUGUCACUUAUUUCUGUCUGUGUUUGUUAUAUAAGCGGACACAUGAUAUUAUGGUGUGCAUGAAGCUGGACAGUGUGUGUGUGUGUAUUUGUUAUCUCUUUAGGACCUUUUCUGACACAAACACUGACCUUCUCAUGACUGGUAGUCCUCAUGGGGUCAUGGGGACCAAAAAAACCUGGUCUUUAAUGAGGCAGAACCUUAAUUCUGAGGAACUAGUUUAACUUUAGGGUUAACAUUCAAAUUGUGGCCCGGUUAAAGGUAGGGUUAGGCAAUAACUGGCUAAGUGAAUUGAAGUCAGUAUAGAGUCCUUGUGUAAAUGACCUACAUUUUUCUAACCUUUAUUGUGGUAGGUCAUCUGUUGAAAAGUGAUGCUUUUAUUUUGAAAGGGUAAAAUACUGAAAGUAGGAGAAACGGCGAGAGAAACGUAACGUGCCAAUUAAGACUACAAACGAGUCUCAAGCACGUUUCGUGGUUUGUUUUAGCACCUGACUGACAAGGGCAAAAGCCACUCCUUCACUCACCCACUCAUUCCCUUUCAUACCUUCCCAAAUUUGCUCACAGAGGCACAUAUCAAUCAGUCACACUCUCAUUUAGCAACACUUGCUCAGUGUCACUGUUCUUCACACACACACUUACCAGAUGUAGAAAGGGCAGGAGUAUUCUGGCUCUUUGUGCACACGCACACACACACACACACACACACACAAACACACAAACACACACACAGAGUCAUCAACAGGUGUGACUUUCACAGCUUCAGCUGUUAGUGGAGUCCAAAACUGCGGAUGAGGGACGAGCAGCAUGUUCCUCCACAACCUGAGUCAUCACAUCACAGGGAACAGAGAGGACAGAUCAUCAGUCAGUGCUGCGGCUCCAUCACACACUGUGCUGCUGGACAGAGCAGGACAUGAUGAGGGCUGAGGACUACUGAGAAGGGAUGAGCUGUGCCGAAAAUAACCACAAAUGGCGAGGUUCUCAUCCCAGAGAUCUACUGCUGGAGAUGUCUCUGUGUGUGUGAAAAUCCCAAUAAAUGAGCAGUUUCUGAAUGCUCAGACCAGCUUGUCUGACACCAACAACCAAGCAAUUGUCAAAGUCUCCUUUCUUCCUCAUUUUGUGAUCCUCGCUUUGAGUUUCAGCAGGUCAUCUUGACGAGUUGCUGCCAUGCUUGGCUGCUGGAAAGUGACACAAUGUAGGAAUGAAUGUCUCCAAGAUUAUUUUGAUGGUACAUUAACUUACAACGGAGUGAAUGUCACCUCUGUCAGAGACACGGUAUAACUUAUGUUUCGGGUCCAGGCCAGAAAAACAACUACAACAUUCUACUUUACGGAAUAGGUCACAGAAAACACAAGUGAAGCAAACUAAAGCACUGUUGUUAUUUUGUAGCUUUUUGGGGUUAUUUUUUAUCUCUAUUUGUAUAAAAUUCUAUAAUAUAUGCUACUGUACCUGCUCUGAAUAUGUUUUAUGUCGAAGCUCUUUAACUGAAAUUAUAUUUUUAAUGCUAAAAUAUUCAAAUGUACUUUUUAACAAAAAAAAACUGAAAAAAUGGUUAAGCACAUUAUUAUGUCUUCUCAGAGAAUAAACACAGUGAGUCGGCUCAAAUUUGUGGUAAAAAAAAGAUGAAUUCAGUUUGUUGUUUGCCAAAUUAAUAACAAUUACAUUUUGUAGUUUUUGACAAUGACAGAUGGUCUAAUAAAUGUGUUAAUAUUUUAUGGCAGUUGUUACAAACAACACCUUUCACCAGCUGUGGGGGGAACCCAAGAGCAAAUCCUACAUUGACUUACUUUAAAAAGUAACACAUGUACCUAAUAAAGUGGCCGAUGAGUUUAUGAUCUAACUACAGAGAUCAGUGAUGUUAUAACAGCUGCUUUCUGAUCAAUCAUGGUUGUUGUUGUGUUGGACACUGAUGUAAUUGUGUGUUAUUGUGUAAUUGUCCUCCUCCUUUGUUCACACUGUACAUACUGUAUGCAAAUGUCCAGAGGAGAGAGCCAUUUUCCUGCCUAAUGCUGUCACUAAUUUAUACUCACAAAUCACUCUCCCCCCUCUUUGUAUUGUGCAACGUGUGUUUUUGAUGUCCCACAGAUUCCACUGCCUGCUCUUUUCAUUAAAAGAACGCCUCUCAGAGGGUGGAGGGAAAUGACACUCCACCUUGGCGCUUUCAUUCAUAAAUACAAUACCUGUAUUGUGCUUUGCUGCAGCACUGAGGGCUUUUUUGUAAAGCAAUAAGAGGAGAUCAAAAGGGAGCGGACGCUACAUGUAUCAAGGCAGCAUGGGUCAAUCUAAGGGGCACAACAACAGGACAGUAUCGUGUAGAAAGGUGUCUUUACUGUACUGGACCUGGUGGCACACCCUGUGCCCAGUGUGAGCCUUCACUGCUCCGCUUCCUGUGCCACACCGCCCCCUCACUGCGGCCUACAGGGCACGUUUUGCCCAGAAAUGAGCUCAUACUCCGGCGAAGGUGCCAAGAAACAAGGGCCCAGGCGAUCCAGUGCUCCCCUCUGCCGCCCAAAACACUCCUCCCACCCGUCUGUGUGGGCACCGCCGCUCCAAAACACUCACAACCUGCAAACAGACACAGUUUGUGCAGACACGAGCAGCAAAUGAAGAAGAACGGCGUUCCUUCCUGGUCUGUGGAGGCCACCGUAGUUCCCUGACAUGCAUCGGUAAUAGGAAUGGGAUGUGAUUUGUGCUGAUGUCAGCUGUGAUGCUGAGCCUGUGGAUGCAGGGAGAGCGUGUCAUGGAUGAGUAUUUGAACACAC